rnacentral:rRNA from 1 species
GACGAACGCUGGCGGCGUGCUUAACACAUGCAAGUCGAACGGAAAGGCCCUGCUUUUGUGGGGUGCUCGAGUGGCGAACGGGUGAGUAACACGUGAGUAACCUGCCCUUGACUUUGGGAUAACUUCAGGAAACUGGGGCUAAUACCGGAUAGCAGCUCCUGCUGCAUGGUGGGGGUUGGAAAGUUUCCGCGGUUGGGGAUGGACUCGCGGCUUAUCAGCUUGUUGGUGGGGUAGUGGCUUACCAAGGCUUUGACGGGUAGCGGGCCUGAGAGGGUGACCGGCCACAUUGGGACUGAGAUACGGCCCAGACUCCUACGGGAGGCAGCAGUGGGGAAUAUUGCACUAUGGGCGGAAGCCUGAUGCAGCAACGCCGCGUGCGGGAUGACGGCCUUCGGGUUGUAAACCGCUUUCGCCUGUGACGAAGCGUGAGUGACGGUAAUGGGUAAAGAAGCACCGGCUAACUACGUG